AACGAACGCUGGCGGCAUGCCUAACACAUGCAAGUCGAACGGGAUCCUAGCUUGCUAGGUGAGAGUGGCGGACGGGUGAGUAACACGUGGGAAUCUGCCUUUUGGUUCGGGAUAACCGCGGGAAACUGCGGCUAAUACCGAAUGCCCUCGUGAGAGGAAAGAUUUAUCGCCAGAAGAGGAGCCCGCGUCCGAUUAGGUAGUUGGUGGGGUAAAGGCCUACCAAGCCGACGAUCGGUAGCUGGUCUGAGAGGAUGAUCAGCCACACUGGGACUGAGAUACGGCCCAGACUCCUACGGGAGGCAGCAGUGGGGAAUAUUGGACAAUGGGGGCAACCCUGAUCCAGCAAUGCCGCGUGAGUGAUGAAGGCCUUAGGGUUGUAAAGCUCUUUUGCCAGGGAAGAUGAUGACGGUACCUGGAGAAUAAGCCCCGGCUAACUUCGUGCCAGCAGCCGCGGUAAU
rnacentral:rRNA from 1 species